rnacentral:misc_RNA from 1 species
UAUGAUUUACAUUGUGGGAUGGUCUGUUUUCUAUAAGAUUAAGCUGGUGAGAGAGCCCACCAGGCAAUUGCCGCGAGGUGGGGAUUUGACUCUUGGUGAAUUGCUCAAGUAUAAAUCUGAGGAAGGAGUGCGAGUUUUGUUGCUGGUUUGGGACGAUAAGACCUCGCAUGAUAAGUUUGGUAUUAGUACGGCAGGAUUGAUGCAGACACACGAUGAAGAAACCCGAAAAUUUUUCAAACAUUCGUCCGUCAUCUGCGUAUUGGCACCUCGCUAUGCCAGCAGCAAGCUUAGUUUUUUGAAACAACAGGUUGUUGGAACUGCCUUUACACACCAUCAGAAAUGUGUUCUUGUGGACACACAGGCGCAUGGUAAUAAUAGGAAGAUAACUGCAUUUUUAGGAGGUAUUGAUCUGUG